GACGAACGCUGGCGGCGUGCUUAACACAUGCAAGUCGAACGCUGAAGCUCAGCUUUUGUUGGGUGGAUGAGUGGCGAACGGGUGAGUAACACGUGAGUAACCUGCCUCCUUCUUUGGGAUAACGCCCGGAAACGGGUGCUAAUACUGGAUAUUCACUGGUCUUCGCAUGGGGGUUGGUGGAAAGGGUUUUUCUGGUGGGGGAUGGGCUCGCGGCCUAUCAGCUUGUUGGUGGGGUGAUGGCCUACCAAGGCUUUGACGGGUAGCCGGCCUGAGAGGGUGACCGGUCACAUUGGGACUGAGAUACGGCCCAGACUACUACGGGAGGCAGCAGUGGGGAAUAUUGCAAAAUGGGCGCAAGCAUGAUGCAGCGACGCCGCGUGAGGGAUGGAGGCCUUCGGGUUGGGAACCUCUUUCGCUAAUGGUCAAGCCGCAACAAUGGUUGUGGUGAGGGUAGUGGGUAAAGAAGCGCCGGCUAACUACGUG
rnacentral:rRNA from 1 species